rnacentral:lncRNA from 1 species
UGCACCACACGCACCACACCACACACACACACAUACACACACACGAGCAGAGCAAGGGACAGCCAUGUUGUGUGAUCUGGGAGGGUGGCUCAUCCUCUCUGAGUUGUUUAUAAACCGGGCGGGACCCAGGCCUGCCAAUCAAAGGCCUGAUCUGAAUGCUCUUAUUGGUUCAGAGAUGGACAUGUGACCCUCUCUUGGCCAAUCAGAGGCUUUCCUGCUGGAAGGGCUGCUGGAAGCCAUCUUCGCACGGUUCUUCCCUUGGCUUUAGAGCCCCGAAGCGCUCUUUGACUUGAGCUGCUUUGCAUUCUCUCUGUCCUGCCAUCGAGAAAGUUCUGAGCGGCUCAGAAGUAAUACUGACACUAUCAACGGAGGGGGACUGCAGUUUCGCUGGUGGCCCCACAGCCCCCUGCCUCCAGCCAGGGGACAAAGAACAGGAGGGAUCCAGAGGGCUGCCUGCACCUGCACCUCCCGCUCCUGCUGUGCCCUGAUCCCAUGUGCUGGGUGAACUGGGUUCUUCCGAGCCCUCCAGCCCUGGAUGCUAACCCCAGAGCUGCAAGGUGAGGGGCACCUACGCCGGCAGCCAUUCCCCAUGGGAGGGGCAGUGCUGGAGGUGCCCUGGGUGACCAGGACGGGCCGCCGCCCCUCUGCUGGCCUUAGUGCCCUUGUCUGUGAAAUGGGGCGAGCAGUUCCUCUCUCAGAGCUGCUGCGAGGACUGAGUCUCUCUGAGCUCAGGAUUUUCCUCUCUCUGAGCUCCAAAACCACGGGCAAAUCACACCCUCUCACUCUCAGCUUCCUGAUCUACAAGACAGGGAUGGUGAUAGAGUACUCAACUCCUAGGGCAGUUGUGGGGCAUGUGAAGCAUUCAGCCCAGGGUCUGGCACCCUGAAAGGGCCAAACCUGUGUGAGCCACAGUUUUAUGGUUGAUCAUCAAUGCCUGUCUAAGAAAGCCCCAUUCAGCUUGAACCCAGCUCUCCAGGAAGAGCUCACUGACACCCUCCUCACACACCCCAAUCGGCCGUCUUUAUUCAUCCCCAAAAGUGAUGUACAAGGAAUGAGUCUUUGGGGGUGUGUCCGUCAUCACCCACUGGGGCUGCUUGUGUCUCCAGCUAUCCCUCCGAGGAAUUCUGCCCCAGACAGCAGAGAGAUGGGGGGCAGGGGACACAUGGCCAUGAGGACAGAGAGCCCUGAGAGGGACUGGGGAAUCGAGACAUCGUUUUCAAAUAAUUGCAGCAAUCAAGAGAGACUGUACAUCCCAUCCCAGACAAAGGGAGACCUGUGAGUCCUGAGUGAGGCAAAAUUUGACUUGAAACAAGUAGCUUGGGCAGGGAGGUGAGCGCUCUGCCCACAGGGAGGAGGUGGAUGAUGAAAGAAAGCGCCGUGGCGAACUCGGUUCUUUGCAAGGGUGCAUCUUUUUGUUGUCUAGGCUGUUGAAAAAUGUGCUCUUUCCUCAUCAGAAAAUGAGAGAAUGGAGCUGGGCGCAGUGGUUCACGCCUGUAAUCCCUGCACUUUGGGAGGCCGAG